CGACAGCACUUUCCUCUUCUACCUCGAGCGUUCCAGGCCGUGCCGCGCAACGUACACGAAUAUUCGCGCAGGAGAUAUCAUGCCAACGAGGUCAACUGGGUCGUCAAGCUGCAGGAGUACGUAGAAGGGUGGCUUGACGCACGUGACGAUGUGUGGGACAAGGGGCAGCCACACACGGAGGCGUCAUACGGCGCAUACCUCCGUUGGUACCUCCCUCGCACGCGUCCGUACGUCACUCUUUCACGUAUUGAUGACGCGGAGCAUCAGCACCAGCCGACCAUCUCGGACACGUAUCCCUCAUACCGUGAUAAGGCGCAGCGCGGCGCGAUUGAUCUGAUCAACUUCACGGAGGUCGAAACUACAUCUCAAAUCACGUUGCUUGAACGUGGAGUACGUGUACCGAAGGCACGUUACAAAGACAGCUUGCGUAAGAUUCAAGACAACUUGACGCGAACGUUACGUGCACUGACGCGAGCGUUACGUGCACUGACGCGUCGCGACAGAGACGACGUGGGGGCCUCCAGUUCAUCUCAUGCGUCCGCC